UUCCGAUCACGUAUCCACCCGGGGCGGUCACUAUCGGAGCCCAACGAGUCCUUCACUUCUUCCUGCCCACGAGACCCUCUAGCUGGUCCCCACCCAGGACCUAACUGAGGUGGACCACAGAUGCCCUCCCUGUCCUCUCGCUUCCCUGUGGAGCUGGGCUCCGUUGGGGACCCAGAAGGCCAGGUGGGCCGCCUGCAUCGCCUGGCUGUGUCUGGGGGCCCAGGCUGGGCCCUCACCCGGCUCCUGCAGAGAGUCCCGCAGGUGGAUGGUGAGAACUCUGCUGGGCAGACGGGGCUCUUCCU